CCCGACUUGGUUAUCGGCAUCUGUAAGAUCCACUGUCGAUCAGCCUUUAAAAUAGAUUGAGGUGUAUGACAUGAUCUUCUUUAAUUAAUAAAGAAAUGCGCUUGUUGACAACUUGCUGUGGUAUAAGGGGAAUAAAACAAUUCAGAAUGUGCAGUUCUACCUUAGGGUGAUAACGGUCACUCCACUUCAUUGGAUCGUUGACUGUUUUCCUAUAACCGUAUGUUUAUUCCUUACAUAAAUUAAACACAAAGCAUGUAGGGGUUCUACAUGCAUGUAGUAUUUGUACAAUCAAUAACCUAUUAGAGCAAUACAUUGUGGUAUAUAAACUGAACUUUGUGUUUGAUGUGUCUGCAGUGCCCAAAGCCCGUGGUGGUGGCAGUGCAUGGCGUUUGUGUGGAAGCAGGAGUGGAUCUAAUCACAGCCUGUGAUAUUCGUCUGUGCACACAGGAUGCCUGGUUUCAGGUGAAGUCGUGUGUUCCCUGAUAGUCAAUGAUUGCUGGAGCUCUGGAAAUAGCAGGUGAGAUUGCAGGCCGGAGUCGCGUCACUGUCCAAGGAACCAAAAUCAACCUCCUCUACUCCUGAGACCACAGUGUGACUGAGAGCCUAGACUACAUGGCUACUUGGAACAUGAACAUGUUGCAGACACAGGAUCUUAUGAAGUCAGCGCAGGCAGCCCUGGAAAAGAAGAGUCCGAAAGACGUGCCCUUCUCCAAGCUUUAAAGGAGAAGAUCCAGGGCUGUUGAAGCUGCGAUGGAACUGAGACAUCAUCAUCCACAUAUCUUUAGUUCUUCUUGCUAAGUCUGUUUCUUUUUAGUCUUUUUAUUUUUAGACUGGUCAAAAGACUGAUUAGUGGAAGUGAAAUGAUAGAUGAACUUUUAAUUACUUGCUUUAUUAUUUGCAGGUGCCUUGUACAGUAAGACAGGGUAACUAAUACUCAAAAGCUUGUUUUGUGUGUUAACAUGUAAAGUAGAUGUACAUAUUUCUUCUGGUCCUGUGUGACUGCAGAAUGUAGUGCAGUUAACACAUUAAAUUUCCUUGGAUGCUCACUUUUAACUCUAGGAGGUCACAGUUUGCCCAGACAUCUUUUUUUAAAUCCGUCAAUCCGUCACCCACACGUCAUUCUGGGGGACGAAGAGGAGGAAGCUGGACAGAUAAAUUUAUUUAUUUAUUUAUCAUUGCUGUGUUUCCUCAAUCGAGUGCAGAAAGAAGAAAAACAACACAACUGAUUUAAAAUAAAAAUAUAGAAAACAAUCUAAUGUAAGGUUCUGAUCCGGUUUGCUUUCAGCAGGAAGGCUGUCCUCUUUCCUGUUGCUCUUUCUCUUCUAUUAGUCCAUUUGUCCAGUCUGAAUCGGUUUUGAUUCGUUUCGAGACGAUUCGGAGUCGAAUAAUUUUCUAGUGAGAGUCGCACACUUCCAAACGAACUAGACUGAGAUGAGUAUUUGAUUCUCACUAGAAAGUGAUUCGACUCUGAAUCAACUCGAAAUGAAUCAGUCAAACUGAUUCAGACUCUAUAAAAGGACUAUGAGAUGUGAUUAAGAUAUAUAUUCCAAUGUUUUGCUUUACAAUUCCAUUGUGUGUGUGUGUGUGUGUGUGUGUGUGUGUGUGUGUGUGUGCGUGCGCGCGCACGUGUGUUUUUCAGGAGAACGAGAAACUCGGACACAACAGUACAUCCUGACCAUUGGUACUGUGUACACAUCAACAUACACACACGUCUCCAUGCUGGACAUCUCAGGAGCUUUCACAAACAGUGCUAGGAAUAUCCCGGGACAGAGAAACGCACCUUCUAAAAAUGAUCUUUCGAGGCAGCUUCUUCAUCACUACCUGCUCUGUUUGACUCAAAAAUGUAACGACCGGUUUCAAAAAGUCACGAUGUCUUCAGUUCAUGUGAUUUUACUGUUGAAUUUAAACAGGAAAUGUGAAAUAUUUUUCCCUUUGUUUCCUCUACUGUCUUUUUGCUGUGAUCUUGAACACAGUUGUAAUUUAAAAAAAAAUAAUAAAUAAAUGAUCAUUCUAGUUCUCUCACUUUCCUUGUCCUAAUUGUCCUGUAUCUGUUAAAUCCGUUUCAUCUCUGGUCUUUCUGUCUGUAUGAACACUUGUAGAAAUGACUUGUAGU
ensembl:lncRNA